AUUUUUGCUAUCUUACUUUCUCCUUUUUUCAACUUUUAUGCUUAAUCUGAAUCUUAUUAAGUCUUGAAUUUUAGGUUUAUCUUACAGAUUUACGGAGGCAUUAUUCUUGUGAAAGGUCAGGAGCAUCCUUCAAGAAAUGAUUCUGGAGUCAGCGUUUGUGACAUUUUUGGAGACCUCAGGAACUGGGAGCCCUCUAAUGAACUCAGGAUGGUAUAAGACUUAAAUGAAUCUACAAACAACAUACGUCAUAUACAUUAUGUAAGAAGAAACAAGUCUACAUCUGACAAGCUUUGCUCAGUUUGAGGAGAGCCCUGCCGGUCCUGGUCCACAAGGUGGCGUACUUUCUGUUCUAUUAGUGUUCAGACACACACACACACAUUAACUCUCACAUACACUCUCAAGCUACUUUGUCCACAAAUUUCCCUUCACACCACCCACUUGUGGUGGCUCUCGGACUAUGGGCUGACUGAGUGGUUCCUGAGUGGUUCAUUUCCUUUCCUCUCAUAGAUGCACACACUCUUCCUCUCUGUGUGUUGCUGUUCGUCCACUCUGCUGAGCACUCAAAAUUUCAUAAGUCAGCAGACAAUGAGGCUGUAGUCAAGCCCAUGGAGGAGCAGCGGUAGUAUAAGACUGUAGCUGUCUGGAGACAAGUAACUGGGUGAAGCUUUUAGUGAGGAGACGGCAUAAAGCUGCAGCAUUGAGCCGGCCUGCUCAGUGUUUCUCAUGCUAGUGCUAGUCAUGCUAGCUAGAGGUUACACAGCAUAUCCUCUUCCUCUUGUUUUAUCAGUGGCUGAAAAGCAGUAACCCUGGCAGUAAAUUGUCUUAACAGAGA